UAGACAGAUUGAUUCUUAAACACCUACUCCC
rnacentral:piRNA from 1 species